AACAACAAGGGAAACCUUCAACUGUAUGCUGGUGGCUAAAAUACAGCUUGAAAAAUAAAACAAUAAAUCUAUGCUUUUAUGUCAAGAGCAUCCAUGGUGUAGUUACAGUAGGUUUAUGUGAUGUAUUAUUUGUACCAGCCCACACUAAAAUAAUUAGAUGAAGUGUUUCCUGAAUAAGUAGGUCUUCAACUGCCGUUUGAAAAUAGCUAGUGACUCAGCUGUCUGAAGUCACCACCUUUUUCCUCUUUGGGCAUUCAUUUUGAUGUGUAAGAGAUUUCUCAAAUGAAUCCCCCUUCAUCUUCUCAGGACACUCUGAUAAACUGACUGUACUGUAUUCCAUCGUCUCCCAUCACUGAGAAGAUACAAAAUGGUUUUCCCACUCUCACUUCAUCUCCUGGUCGAAAAGAGGGAAUUUUUGCACUCUUUUGGGCAGCCUGGUCUGUGAAUGAUGCAGUCAAUAUGGGACUGCAUUAUGUUCUGCAGCAUCUGGA